AACGAACGCUGGCAGCGUGGAUUAGGCAUGCAAGUCGAACGGGAUCCGGAAGGUAGCCAUCCCGGCCGGUGAGAGUGGCGGAAGGGCGAGGAGCACGUGGACAACCUGUCCCGUGGGUGGGGAUACCGUCCCGAAAGGGGCGUUAAUACCGAAUGGGGCCCCGGACCGCAUGGUCCGGCGGCCAAAGGCGGGGACCGCAAGGCCCGCCCCCCCGGGAGGGGUCCGCGCACCAUCAGCUAGACGGCGGGGUAACGGCCCACCGUGGCUUACGGUUAGCUGGUCUGAGAGGACGACCAGCCGCACUGGGACUGAGACACUGCCCAGACUCCUACGGGAGGCUGCAGUCGAGGAUCAUUCGCAAUGGGCGAAAGCCUGACGAUGCGACGCUGCGUGGAGGAUGAAGGCCCUCGGGUCGUAAACUCCUGUCAUGGGGGGCGAGGCGGAGGCGGUUAACGGCCGCCCGAGUUGACGGUACCCCAAGAGGAAGCCACGGCUAACUCUGUG
rnacentral:rRNA from 1 species